rnacentral:rRNA from 1 species
AGCGUACACGGUGGAUGCCCUGGCAGUCAGAGGCGAUGAAGGACGUGCUAAUCUGCGAUAAGCGUCGGUAAGGUGAUAUGAACCGUUAUAACCGGCGAUUUCCGAAUGGGGAAACCCAGUGUGAUUCGUCACACUAUCAUUAACUGAAUCCAUAGGUUAAUGAGGCGAACCGGGGGAACUGAAACAUCUAAGUACCCCGAGGAAAAGAAAUCAACCGAGAUUCCCCCAGUAGCGGCGAGCGAACGGGGAGCAGCCCAGAGCCUGAAUCAGUGUGUGUGUUAGUGGAAGCGUCUGGAAAGGCGCGCGAUACAGGGUGACAGCCCCGUACACAAAAAUGCACAUGCUGUGAGCUCGAUGAGUAGGGCGGGACACGUGGUAUCCUGUCUGAAUAUGGGGGGACCAUCCUCCAAGGCUAAAUACUCCUGACUGACCGAUAGUGAACCAGUACCGUGAGGGAAAGGCGAAAAGAACCCCGGCGAGGGGAGUGAAAAAGAACCUGAAACCGUGUACGUACAAGCAGUGGGAGCACGCUUAGGCGUGUGACUGCGUACCUUUUGUAUAAUGGGUCAGCGACUUAUAUUCUGUAGCAAGGUUAACCGAAUAGGGGAGCCGAAGGGAAACCGAGUCUUAACUGGGCGUUAAGUUGCAGGGUAUAGACCCGAAACCCGGUGAUCUAGCCAUGGGCAGGUUGAAGGUUGGGUAACACUAACUGGAGGACCGAACCGACUAAUGUUGAAAAAUUAGCGGAUGACUUGUGGCUGGGGGUGAAAGGCCAAUCAAACCGGGAGAUAGCUGGUUCUCCCCGAAAGCUAUUUAGGUAGCGCCUCGUGAAUUCAUCUCCGGGGGUAGAGCACUGUUUCGGCAAGGGGGUCAUCCCGACUUACCAACCCGAUGCAAACUGCGAAUACCGGAGAAUGUUAUCACGGGAGACACACGGCGGGUGCUAACGUCCGUCGUGAAGAGGGAAACAACCCAGACCGCCAGCUAAGGUCCCAAAGUCAUGGUUAAGUGGGAAACGAUGUGGGAAGGCCCAGACAGCCAGGAUGUUGGCUUAGAAGCAGCCAUCAUUUAAAGAAAGCGUAAUAGCUCACUGGUCGAGUCGGCCUGCGCGGAAGAUGUAACGGGGCUAAACCAUGCACCGAAGCUGCGGCAGCGACGCUGAUGCGUUGUUGGGUAGGGGAGCGUUCUGUAAGCCUGCGAAGGUGUGCUGUGAGGCAUGCUGGAGGUAUCAGAAGUGCGAAUGCUGACAUAAGUAACGAUAAAGCGGGUGAAAAGCCCGCUCGCCGGAAGACCAAGGGUUCCUGUCCAACGUUAAUCGGGGCAGGGUGAGUCGACCCCUAAGGCGAGGCCGAAAGGCGUAGUCGAUGGGAAACAGGUUAAUAUUCCUGUACUUGGUGUUACUGCGAAGGGGGGACGGAGAAGGCUAUGUUGGCCGGGCGACGGUUGUCCCGGUUUAAGCGUGUAGGCUGGUUUUCCAGGCAAAUCCGGAAAAUCAAGGCUGAGGCGUGAUGACGAGGCACUACGGUGCUGAAGCAACAAAUGCCCUGCUUCCAGGAAAAGCCUCUAAGCAUCAGGUAACAUCAAAUCGUACCCCAAACCGACACAGGUGGUCAGGUAGAGAAUACCAAGGCGCUUGAGAGAACUCGGGUGAAGGAACUAGGCAAAAUGGUGCCGUAACUUCGGGAGAAGGCACGCUGAUAUGUAGGUGAAGUCCCUCGCGGAUGGAGCUGAAAUCAGUCGAAGAUACCAGCUGGCUGCAACUGUUUAUUAAAAACACAGCACUGUGCAAACACGAAAGUGGACGUAUACGGUGUGACGCCUGCCCGGUGCCGGAAGGUUAAUUGAUGGGGUUAGCGCAAGCGAAGCUCUUGAUCGAAGCCCCGGUAAACGGCGGCCGUAACUAUAACGGUCCUAAGGUAGCGAAAUUCCUUGUCGGGUAAGUUCCGACCUGCACGAAUGGCGUAAUGAUGGCCAGGCUGUCUCCACCCGAGACUCAGUGAAAUUGAACUCGCUGUGAAGAUGCAGUGUACCCGCGGCAAGACGGAAAGACCCCGUGAACCUUUACUAUAGCUUGACACUGAACAUUGAGCCUUGAUGUGUAGGAUAGGUGGGAGGCUUUGAAGUGUGGACGCCAGUCUGCAUGGAGCCGACCUUGAAAUACCACCCUUUAAUGUUUGAUGUUCUAACGUUGACCCGUAAUCCGGGUUGCGGACAGUGUCUGGUGGGUAGUUUGACUGGGGCGGUCUCCUCCUAAAGAGUAACGGAGGAGCACGAAGGUUGGCUAAUCCUGGUCGGACAUCAGGAGGUUAGUGCAAUGGCAUAAGCCAGCUUGACUGCGAGCGUGACGGCGCGAGCAGGUGCGAAAGCAGGUCAUAGUGAUCCGGUGGUUCUGAAUGGAAGGGCCAUCGCUCAACGGAUAAAAGGUACUCCGGGGAUAACAGGCUGAUACCGCCCAAGAGUUCAUAUCGACGGCGGUGUUUGGCACCUCGAUGUCGGCUCAUCACAUCCUGGGGCUGAAGUAGGUCCCAAGGGUAUGGCUGUUCGCCAUUUAAAGUGGUACGCGAGCUGGGUUUAGAACGUCGUGAGACAGUUCGGUCCCUAUCUGCCGUGGGCGCUGGAGAACUGAGGGGGGCUGCUCCUAGUACGAGAGGACCGGAGUGGACGCAUCACUGGUGUUCGGGUUGUCAUGCCAAUGGCACUGCCCGGUAGCUAAAUGCGGAAGAGAUAAGUGCUGAAAGCAUCUAAGCACGAAACUUGCCCCGAGAUGAGUUCU